rnacentral:rRNA from 1 species
CCUACGGGAGGCAGCAGUGGGGAAUAUUGCACAAUGGGGGAAACCCUGAAGCAGCAACGCCGCGUGAAGGAUGAAGGUUUUCGGAUUGUAAACCUCUUUUGUUAGAGAAGAUAAUGACGGUAUCUAAUGAAUAAGCACCGGCUAACUCCGUGCCAGCAGCCGCGGUAAUACGGAGGGUGCAAGCGUUAUCCGGAUUCACUGGGCGUAAAGAGCGCGUAGACGGGAGAGAAAGUCUGGUGUGAAAUCCUAGGGCUUAACCAUAGAACUGCAUUUGAAACUGUUAUGCUAGAGUAUAGGAGAGGUAGGUGGAAUUCUUGGUGUAGGGGUAAAAUGCGUAGAGAUCAAGAGGAACACUCAUUGCGAAGGCGGCUUACUAGAAUGUAACUGACGUUGAUGCGCGAAAGCGUGGGGAGCAAACAGGAUUAGAUACCCCUGUAGUC